rnacentral:rRNA from 1 species
GUACCGAGAAAAAUCAGCACUAGCUACGUACGUGCACGGCACGCUAAGAUAUAGGUAGCGAGCGUGUCUUGAUAUGAUUUACUGUGAAGUCGAGCGCGGGCGGUUUGUUUGGUAAGAUGUGAUGUGCAAUCCGCCUCGACUCGACGAUGGUCAUUGCAUAGUGAGUGGCUUGAGUAGAGUAUGGCAGAGUGGAGUAGAAUUCCACGUGUAGCAGUGAGUGAGAUGAGAUGUAGCACCAUACCGAUGGCGAAGUCAGCCCCUCUGUGCCUAUACUGACGCUCAGACACGAUAGCGAGCGGACCGGACAAGAUUCCAUACCAGUGCAGUCCACGCCCUAUGAGAUGUCAGUGAGUUGUGGUGUAUUCCUUUCAUUACUAACGCAGCUGCAGUGAGCAGUCGACCGCGGGAGGAGUAUGGUAACAAGAUUAAUACUCAAAAGAAUUGACGGCCACCCCCACCGGCGGUGCAUGAUGUGGAUUAAUUAGAAACAAGAAGAACAACCUCACCUACCCACAUCAUGGUAGGACCCCAGAGGAGAGGCUUGAGUGCUCGAAAGAGAACCACAGCACAGGCAUGGCAUUGGUGUGGUCAGGUCGUGUGAUGAGAGGUUGAGUCAAGUCCCGCAACCAGCCCAACCUUUGUCUUUAGAUCAUUCGCAAGAGCACUCUAAGGAGACUGCCGGUGACAAACCGGAGGAAGGUGGGGAUGACGUCAAGUCCUCAUGCCCCUUAUGGCUAGGGCUUCACACGUCAUACAAUGGUCGGAACAGAGGGUAGCCAACCCGCGAGGGGGAGCUAAUCCCAGAAAUCCGUUCGUAGUUCGGAUUGCACUCUGCAACUCGAGUGCAUGAAGCUGGAAUCGCUAGUAAUCGCGGAUCAGCAUGCCGCGGUGAAUACGUUCCCGGGUCCUUGUACACACCGCCCGUCACACCAUGGAGAAGUGGUGUUUACACCCAGGAAGUGGGUAGUAGGUACACGCAAGGAGCACGGGUCCCAACCCC